UGAACUUUAUUUUAACUGUAACAUUCAUAAUUAAAAAUGUUUGACAGCUUAUCAAACUCUUAAUAGUUUUUGCUGGGCCGGUGGUUGUAAUUUUCAUUUCAGCUCUUUCAGAUGGACACAAUGUUCAGAUCUCAACCUGCUUCAGUCAACGCAGGAAAACUUCACUGUGCUUUUGUCUUUUUGCUCCUAACACUGACUUAAGCAUGUAAUGAAUCAGUAAUGACUCUUUGUCUUCAAACUAGCUAAGAUGCUCUUGACUUUUCACAUAAAAGUAUUAUGAACAUUACUAGGAUAGUUCAUGUACUUUCUUCUGCAUAAUCACUAGUUCGCUCCUGUAUAUAAAGACAAAUGUGUAAAUUAGUUAGUUGUUAUUUAUUGAUAGGUGAAGUUUGAUUCAAUUUAACAUCACAUUCUGUGUUUUGUCAUUUAAGAUGAUUUCUUCCCUUAAAGUACAUUCACCUGCUCCAACCAUCAUUGUUGUUGUUCUUGUACUUGUGGUUGUUGGAUGGAGGUGGAGACACAAGUCCAGUAAGAAGAAAAAACAAUGAUGAAGAAUCACAAGGAAAAAGAAAAGAAGACAAAAUAUGUUCUAGUCCAGAAGAAGCAAGUUUAUUAGAAAAUGAAAAGAAGCAGAAAUGAAAAUUAUACAAAUGAAGGUCGACAUCCGAACAUCAUAUGAUCCCAAUGGAGACAAGAGGAAUAAAUGAAGCUGAUGAAAGCGUACAACAAGACAACGUCACAUCAGGAGAGAAGACAGUGAAGAGGAGAGAGAGACUUUGUCCUGAUACAGAACAUGAAGACGAGACGAACACAACGUCUGGUCCAGUGAAGGCUUCAGCUGAUGAGAACAAAUACAGUGUCAACAACAGAGACACACACAGUUCAGGAAGUGGAUAACAGAAUCUCACUGUGGAAAGAAAGAAGAAACACAUGAAGAUCAUCCAGAGGAGAAAGAAACCAGACAUGGAGAGAAGGAAACAGGUCCUAUGACUGAUGAAACAUCAAACUGAAGGAUGAGAACAGACAAAACCUGAAGAUUAAUGAAGGAGGAAAUGGGGGGAAAUGAUCACAAGGAAAAACAAAAAAACAUCUGUAGGUAUCAAACCAGCAGCUAAGAAUGAAGCUGAUGGAAACAAACAAUCAACUGAAUCAACCAAAAAUACUGUUUACCCCAAGAGAACUGCACCAUUGACACCAACUACAACCAAAGACACUUCACUAUACUGUAACAACAACAGCAACUGAAUCAACUUCAACACAGAGAGAUGGAGAGAACAACAAAGGGUCAGAAACAGUAGACAUGAGAGAGACAAAUGAUGGGGAGGACACAACAUCUGGUUCAGGAGGUGCUGAAACCGGACAGAACCCACGCGAACACUAGGAGAACUCCACAUAGAAAAGGCACCCUGUCCGCCUCUGGGAAUAGAACCCAGGACCUUAAGGGUUUUAUGAACCUUUUUACAUUUAUCUAAGAUUAGCAUUAAAACAUCUCAAAAUCAAUAAAAUGUUGUAAAAUGGCUUGUGUUGCAGCAUCAUUCUUUGUAUUUAGAAUUGUCUCAUCAACUUUAUCCUUUUUUGCUUUAUUCUGUAAAACAUGACUUGUUCAAUAAACCCACUAUUCUUUGA